AGAGUUUGAUCCUGGCUCAGGAUGAACGCUGGCGGCGUGCUUAAUACAUGCAAGUCGAACGGAGAGUGUAGCAAUACAGUCUUAGUGGCGAACGGGUGAGUAACGCGUUGGUGACCUGCCCCAAAGUGAGGGAUAACAGUUCGAAAGGACUGCUAAUACCCCAUGUGGUUUUAGAGAUUAGAGGCUUUAAAACUAAAGGUGCAAACCGCUUUGGGAGGGACCUGCGUCCCAUCAGCUAGUUGGUAGGGUAACGGCCUACCAAGGCGACGACGGGUAGGGGACCUGAGAGGGUGGCCCCCCACACUGGCACUGAAACACGGGCCAGACACCUACGGGUGGCAGCAGUAGAGAAUAUUGCACAAUGGGCGAAAGCCUGAUGCAGCAACGCCGCGUGCGCGAUGAAGGCCUUCGGGUCGUAAAGCGCUUUUCGGGGAGAUGAGGAAGGACAGUAUCCCCGGAAUAAGUCUCGGCUAACUACGUGCCAGCAGCCGCGGUAACACGUAGGAGGCAAGCGUUAUCCGAAUUUACUGGGCGUAAAGCGCGUGCAGGCGGUUCGGUAAGUUGGAUGUGAAAUCUCCUGGCUCAACUGGGAGAGGUCGUUCAAUACUGUCGGACUAGAGGAUGGUAGAGGGAGGUGGAAUUCCCGGUGUAGUGGUGAAAUGCGUAGAUAUCGGGAGGAACACCAGUGGCGAAAGCGGCCUCCUGGACCAUUCCUGACGCUCAGACGCGAAAGCUAGGGGAGCGAACGGGAUUAGACACCCCGGUAGUCCUAGCUGUAAACGAUGUGGAAAGGCGUCGGUGGGGUAAAAACCAUCGGUGCCGGAGCUAACGCGGUAGGUCCUCCGCCUGGGGAUUACGGCCGCAAGGUUAAAACUCAAAGGAAUAGACGGGUCCCCGCACAAGCAGCGGAGCGUGUGGUUUAAUUCGAUGAUACACGAAAAACCUUACCCGGGUUUGACAUAUAAGUAGUAGGGAUCUGAAAGGUGACCGACCCUUCGGGGAGCUUAUACAGGUGCUGCAUGGCUGUCGUCAGCUCGUGCCGUGAGGUGUCCGGUUAAGUCCGGU
rnacentral:rRNA from 1 species